GAUACGUUCCCAGUACGACUGGGCGACGCGCUAUCCAGAAGCCAUAGCUCGCACGAACUACUCUCGCUCGGUCAGACGAAACAGGGACGCAGGUCCCAGCUUUACACAGGUAAAACCCCUGCCCAUACGCAGGUACGGACUUCCGCAGCGGUGCGGCAUUCAGGUGGCGGACGACUAUCAGUAGUCGCUUUAGCCGCCGCAGCUAACAGUAGCCGCAAGUAAACUAAUAUCAGUAUUAGUUAGACCUGUAAUCACCGACAGCGGGAUUGACGGGUAUUAGUUAGUAACAGAGAAGUUCGGUAAAUCGGACCGGACGAGCCAACCACCGACAGUUAGGAUUCGGAGCCCAAACCGUUGCAGAAAGCUUUACAGGAUACAACACAUUCAUGGGCCGUGGUGGGCGGCUGGCCAUGACCAUGUAUAGCGGCGAACUGGACUGCCACGUGUCAGUAACAGUGCGAACUAAGUGGUACUAAAGGGACACUAUGGAAUAGCCCUUGGUGCAAGGCGUGGGUUGAGACUGACGUGCGGAAUGAAAAGGGUAAGAAUAGCCCUUGGUGCAAGGCGUGGGUUGAGACUGACGUGCGGAAUGAAAAGGGUAAGAAUAGCCCUUGGUGCAAGGCGUGGGUUGAGCCUGACGUGCGGAAUGAAAAGGGUAAGAAUAGCCCUUGGUGCAAGGCGUGGGUUGAGACUGACGUGCGGAAUGAAAAGGGUAAGAAUAGCGUUGAGAUGGAGGCGGUGCGAAAUGUACCGUGUUUGCGCUCCAAGAAGCAAUAUACAAGAGGCUCGACAACAACCAACUCGGCCACUAGUCGUACAGCCACAGCCGAUUAGAUGCCAUUGGGCCGUGUGUACUGUACGGCAUAUCAGGUAAAAUUGCCAGUCUUAACACUGGAUGAUGGGUCCAUAAAGGAACACAAAAGGAAGUCUUCCCCAUGCUUGAGGCUAUGCCGGCUACACCCUAUGGUACGUGUGGCUUAUGCUCCUGAAACCUGAAAUCUGAUAAAGACCCCGAAGCACGGAGACCCCGGCUUCUUCCUUGUCAAGUCACCCACCCGAACGGCUGCGUGCGAUCUCCGACGCAGUCAACUAGGUGCAGGAGCUUCGGUGCAGAGAUUCUAUGUACAAUUCCAAGCUUCACAGCUCGCUGAACCCAACUAUCGCACUCUGCAUCAUGCGCAUUCCAAUUGCGCUACGGAAAGGGGCUGUCCUAUACAUCUUUGCAUAACCCUUGAGGAACUGUUGCCGUGCUGCGGUUGGUGCUGUGGCAGUGGCAGCGAAGUGUGGCUCCUGCGCAUGCUGGGGUUGCUGGCUGGGUGACUGUAAUCUCUGGCUGCCAAUGGCAGUAAGUGAAAAUAGGUGCUGAGGCUGUGACCCACGGUUCCUUGGAAUAGCCAGGUCCUACAGCCCCUGGGCGCCGUGCACUGGUAAUGCGUGUGUUGGUAUCCCUUCGACCCACGUCGUGUCAGCGUUUAGGAUGUGCUGCUCAGGCCAAAAUGUGCUGUUUCGUUCGGCAGCAUGGUCGUGCUGAGGUAUGCAAUAUUCGGCUCCCGAUGGUCUCCA
rnacentral:lncRNA from 1 species